ensembl:lncRNA
CAAGAUGUGAGGAGUUUUCCCCUGCUAUGCCCCUCUGCCAUGCUAUUCUUGCCCUGGAACCAGUUGAUCAUGAACUGUAACUGUGAGCCAAAAUAAACCUGUCAUGUAUGUUGAAGAUGUUGGAUAUUGUGUCUCAGCAAUGAGGAAAGUACCAAGACAAGCCUCAAAGAUGAGAAAUUCAGGACUGUAGCCGUUGGUUUAUCAGGAACGCUGAGCGUAGUAAACUCUUGAGGAAAGGAACUCAAGUGGAUGAAUUAUAUUGCUCCUCAUGGAAAAGAUGAAAAACUUCUUCCUGGCUAUCCUGGCUACUGGUUAUCUCUCAUAUGUUUUGGGUAAGCAAGUAUUUAAGACUAUUUCAUGCCACCAUUAUGAAGAAGAAAAUGAACAGCAGCAACACAUAUGCUCCAUACGAGUCAGCCCAUUGUGCGCCUCUAACAACGUCACAUACUCUAAUUCCUGCGUGUACUGCUUCGCCAAUAUAGCAUUGAAUCAUACUCUUACAAUUCAACAUGGAGGAAUGUGCAGCAAACCCCCCAAAUCUUGAAUAUUUCUUCAUUUAUCACGAGUGAGACCAUUUGAACUAAGCAUCGUCUUUCCUUCAUAAAGCAGAAUUUAUUGUAUUGUCUUAUUUUUUCUAAUCAAUAAAUAUUACCCUAUGGAAA